UGAGGAAUUUUGCGCAAUGGGGGAGACCCUGACGCAGCAACGCCGCGUGGGUGAAGAAGGCCUUCGGGUCGUAAAGCCCUGUCAGGUGGGAAGAAGGACUUGAGGGCGAACAGCCCUUGAGGGUGACGGUACCACCAGAGGAAGCACCGGCUAACUCCGUGCCAGCAGCCGCGGUAAUACGGAGGGUGCGAGCGUUAUUCGGAAUUACUGGGCGUAAAGCGCGUGUAGGCGGCCCAAGCAGUCUGAUGUGAAAGCCCCGGGCUUAACCUGGGAAGCGCAUUGGAUACUUUUGGGCUUGAGUACUGGAGAGGAAGGGGGAAUUCCCGGUGUAGAGGUGAAAUUCGUAGAGAUCGGGAGGAAUACCAGUGGCGAAGGCGCCCUUCUGGACGGUUACUGACGCUGAGACGCGAAAGCGUGGGGAGCAAACAGG
rnacentral:rRNA from 1 species